UUGUCCUACGGGAGGCAGCAGUGAGGAAUAUUGGUCAAUGGUCGGGAGACUGAACCAGCCAAGCCGCGUGAGGGAGGAAGGUACAGAGUAUCGUAAACCUCUUUUGUCAGGGGACAAAGACUGGGACGCGUCCCCGGAUGAGUGUACCUGAAGAAAAAGCAUCGGCUAACUCCGUGCCAGCAGCCGCGGUAAUACGGAGGAUGCGAGCGUUAUCCGGAUUUAUUGGGUUUAAAGGGUGCGCAGGCGGUCUGUUAAGUCAGCGGUCAAAGCCCGGGGCUCAACCCCGGCCCGCCGUUGAAACUGGC
rnacentral:rRNA from 1 species